rnacentral:rRNA from 1 species
GACGAACGCUGGCGGCGUGCUUAACACAUGCAAGUCGAACGGAAAGGCCCUGCUUUUGUGGGGUGCUCGAGUGGCGAACGGGUGAGUAACACGUGAGUAACCUGCCCUUGACUUUGGGAUAACUUCAGGAAACUGGGGCUAAUACCGGAUAUGAGCUCCUGCUGCAUGGUGGGGGUUGGAAAGUUUCGGCGGUUGGGGAUGGACUCGCGGCUUAUCAGCUUGUUGGUGGGGUAGUGGCUUACCAAGGCUUUGACGGGUAGCCGGCCUGAGAGGGUGACCGGCCACAUUGGGACUGAGAUACGGCCCAGACUCCUACGGGAGGCAGGAGUGGGGGAUAUUGCACAAUGGGCGGAAGCCUGAUGCAGCAACGCCGCGUGCGGGAUGACGGCCUUCGGGUUGUAAACCGCUUUCGCCUGGGAAGAAGCGUGAGUGACGGUAAUGGGUAAAGAAGCACCGGCUAACUACGUG